AACGAACGCUGGCGGCAGGCUUAACACAUGCAAGUCGAACGCCCCGCAAGGGGAGUGGCAGACGGGUGAGUAACGCGUGGGAAUCUACCUAGUUCUACGGAACAACACAGGGAAACUUGUGCUAAUACCGUAUACGCCCUACGGGGGACAGAUUUAUCGGAAUUAGAUGGGCCCGCGUAAGAUUAGCUAGUUGGUGGGGUAAUGGCCUACCAAGGCGACGAUCUUUAGCUGGUCUGAGAGGAUGAUCAGCCACACUGGGACUGAGACACGGCCCAGACUCCUACGGGAGGCAGCAGUGGGGAAUAUUGGACAAUGGGCGAAAGCCUGAUCCAGCCAUGCCGCGUGAGUGAUGAAGGCCUUAGGGUUGUAAAGCUCUUUCAGUAGGGAAGAUAAUGACGGUACCUACAGAAGAAGCCCCGGCUAACUUCGUGCCAGCAGCCGCAGUAAGAC
rnacentral:rRNA from 1 species